AUCCUUUUGUCAUUCAUAAGCAUGACGAUUGGGCUUUCAUGCUCAUGCGUGAGAUGGGCCUCUCUUCAGCCUUGUUACAGGC
rnacentral:snoRNA from 10 species